GGCUCAGAACGAACGCUGGCGGCAUGCCUAACACAUGCAAGUCGAACGAUAAGCCACCUUCGGGUGGUGGACAGUGGCGCACGGGUGAGUAACACGUGGGGACCUGCCUGAUAGUACGGAAAAACAGUUGGAAACGACUGCUAAUACCGUAUACGCCCUUCGGGGGAAAGAUUUAUCGCUAUCAGAUGGACCCGCGCUAGAUUAGAUAGUUGGUGAGGUAAUGGCUCACCAAGUCGACGAUCUAUAGCUGGUUUGAGAAGAUGAUCAGCCACAUUGGGACUGAGACACGGCCCAGACUCCUACGGGAGGCAGCAGUGGGGAAUAUUGGACAAUGGGGGAAACCCUGAUCCAGCAAUGCCGCGUGCGUGAAGAAGGCCUUAGGGUUGUAAAGCGCUUUCACCUGUGAUGAUGAUGACAGUAGCAGGAGAAGAAGCCCCGGCUAACUCCGUG
rnacentral:rRNA from 1 species